AUACGGAGGGUGCAAGCGUUGUCCGGAAUCACUGGGCGUAAAGGGCGCGCAGGCGGUUUGGUAAGUCAGAUGUGAAAGCCCACGGCUCAACCGUGGAAGUGCAUUUGAAACUGUCAGACUUGAGUACUAGAGGGGAAAGUGGAAUUCCCGGUGUAGAGGUGAAAUUCGUAGAUAUCGGGAGGAAUACCGGUGGCGAAGGCGACUUUCUGGCUAGAUACUGACGCUGAGGCGCGAAAGCGUGGGGAGCAAACAGGAUUAGAAACCCUAGUAGUCC
rnacentral:rRNA from 1 species